rnacentral:lncRNA from 1 species
CAAAGACCCAUUACGUGGAAGUAGAACCUAUGAAACUCUUUUGAACCCCUGGGGGUCUUCACCCUGAGUCAUAUUCUCAGUCUUUUUUCUUUGUUUUUGAGACGUAGUGUUGCUAAGUUGUCCAGCCUGGGCUUGAACUUGGGAUCCUCUUGUUCAGUCUGUCAGAAUGCUGAGAUUGCAGACAUGUGCCACAGUGUCCAGCAGACUGCUUGAACUUUAUGGAAGCAGGUACUGUUAACCUGCACCAGGAGCAGAGUGACCACAAGGAGAUCUCUGGGAGUUUGAUGAGAAUUUACUUGGGGACACUCUGCUGAGAUUCAGAUGUCUUAGGAGAUUGGUUCCUAUCUUUCACCCUCCUUCUACCCUCGUCCCGUCCCGCCCCAAAAGGAUCUCCGGUAGCAAAUGCUUAAGCGCCUUGGCGAGGUCAGGUUCUCGGUGCCGAAAACGGAAAAAAACAGCACAGUGCCCUGGAAAUUAGCCCCUCCACCCCUCAAACGUCUACUUUAUUCUGUAUUUCUGUUGGUUAAUAAAAAC